rnacentral:rRNA from 1 species
GACGAACCGUGCAAACGUUAUUCGGAAUCACUGGGCUUAAAGGGCGCGUAGGCGGGCAGGCAAGUCAGGGGUGAAAGCCCACGGCUCAACCGUGGAAGCGCCUUUGAUACUGCCGGUCUCGAGGGAGGUAGGGGCGUGCGGAACUUCCGGUGGAGCGGUGAAAUGCGUAGAUAUCGGAAGGAACACCGGUGGCGAAAGCGGCGCGCUGGACCUCUUCUGACGCUGAGGCGCGAAAGCCCAGGGGGAGCAAAGCGGGG